rnacentral:rRNA from 1 species
GACGAACGCUGGCGGCGUGCUUAACACAUGCAAGUCGAACGGAAAGGCCCUGCUUUUGUGGGGUGCUCGAGCGGCGAACGGGUGAGUAACACGUGAGUAACCUGCCCUUGACUUUGGGAUAACUUCAGGAAACUGGGGCUAAUACCGGAUAGGAGCUCCUGCUGCAUGGUGGGGGUUGGAAAGUUUCGGCGGUUGGGGAUGGACUCGCGGCUUAUCAGCUUGUUGGUGGGGUAGUGGCUUACCAAGGCUUUGACGGGUAGCCGGCCUGAGAGGGUGACCGGCCACAUUGGGACUGAGAUACGGCCCAGACUCCUACGGGAGGCAGCAGUGGGGAAUAUUGCACAAUGGGCGGAAGCCUGAUGCAGCAACGCCGCGUGCGGGAUGACGGCCUUCGGGUUGUAAACCGCUUUCGCCUGUGACGAAGCGUGAGUGACGGUAAUGGGUAAAGAAGCACCGGAUAACUACGUG